CCUACGGGAGGCUGCAGUGGGGAAUAUUGCACAAUGGGGGAAACCCUGAUGCAGCGACGCCGCGUGGGGGACGAAGGAUUUCGGGAUGUAAAGCGCUAUCAGCAGGGAAGAAGAUGACAGUAACUGACGAAUAAGCACCGGCUAACUACGUGCCAGCAGCCGCGGUAAUACGUAGGGUGCAAGCGUUAUCCGGAUUGACUGGGUGUAAAGGGAGCGGAGGUGGCAUAGCAAGGAAGUAGUGAAAACCCGGGGCUUAACCCAGCAGAUUGCUUUGUGAACUGUCAGGCUCGGGGCCAGUAGGGGCAGGUGGAAUUUCUGGUGUAGCGGUGAAAUGCGUAGAUAUCAGGAGGAACACCGAUGGCGAAGGCAGCCUGCUGGCAUGUAUCUGACACUGAGGCUCGAAAGCGUAGGGAGCAAACAGGAUUAGAUACCCUUGUAGUC
rnacentral:rRNA from 1 species